rnacentral:rRNA from 1 species
UAAUACGUAGGGAGCAAGCGUUGUCCGGAAUCAUUGGGCGUAAAGCGCGCGUAGGCGGCCCUGUAAGUCCGCUCUGAAAGUCAAAGGCUCAACCUUUGAAAGCGGGUGGAUACUGCAGGGCUAGAGUCCGGAAGAGGCGGGUGGAAUUCCUGGUGUAGCGGUGGAAUGCGCAGAUAUCAGGAGGAACACCAACGGCGAAGGCAGCCCGCUGGGACGGUACUGACGCUGAGGCGCGAAAGCGUGGGGAGCGAACAGGAUUAGAUACCCUGGUAGUCCACGCCGUAAACGAUGGGAACUAGGUGUGGGAGGUGUCGACUCCUCCCGUGCCGGCGCUAACGCAUUAAGUUCCCCGCCUGGGGAGUACGGCCGCAAGGCUA